CAAUAAGCGGAGGAAAAGAAACCACAGGGAUUGCCCUAGUAACGGCGAGCGAAGCGGCAACAGCUCAAAUUUGAAAUCUGGCUACUUUGUAGUCCGAGUUGUAAUUUGUAGAGGAUGCUUUUGGUGAGGUGCCUUCCGAGUUCCCUGGAACGGGACGCCAGAGAGGGUGAGAGCCCCGUACGGUUGGAUACCAAACCUUUGUAUAGCUCCUUCGACGAGUCGAGUAGUUUGGGAAUGCUGCUCUAAAUGGGAGGUAUAUCUCUUCUAAAGCUAAAUAUAGGCUAGAGACCGAUAGCGCACAAGUAGAGUGAUCGAAAGAUGAAAAGCACUUUGAAAAGAGAGUUAAACAGCACGUGAAAUUGUUGAAAGGGAAGCGCCUAUGACCAGACUUGUUUCUUUCAGUUUUGUUAGUUCUCGGACUGAUUUACUCUGUUAGUACAGGCCAGCAUCAGUUUGUUGUCGGGGAGAAAGGCUUAGGGAAUGUGGCUCCUUCGGGAGUGUUAUAGCCCUUUGCAUAAUACCCUUCGGCAGACUGAGGACCGCGCUUCGGCAAGGAUGCUGGCGUAAUGG
rnacentral:rRNA from 1 species